UGGAUUUAUGAGCUUUUAACACAUAUAACGACACAACUAUAAAUUCAAACACCAAGAAAAUACGGUGAACUGGACACAUCACGAUAGCAAUUCAAAUUCAAACACCAAUAGAACUUUGCUGCAAGAUGCAGAGGGAUGUUUUCAUCAGUUAAGAGAAUCUACAGAAAACCUCAGCACACAAGUUCAAUUACGGUUUCCAUCCACCAAUGAAUCUAUACAAAAUACACACUCUGUUCAUGCUACGGUAGAUAAACUCAUUUCCAGGUUUCUUUUAAUUCCAGAAAUACUCACUUCUGAUAGCCAGGAGGUGGAUAACCAGAGGCAGGAUAGCCCGUGGGUGGAUAGCCAGCAGGCGGAUAGCCUGGAGCUGGGUAAGCUUGUUGUGGAGGAGCUGGAUAAGCUUGUUGUGGAGGUGGUUGACCAUAAGCUGGAGGAGGAUAUCCAACAGUUGGUGGGUAAGGCUGAUCUAGUCGUGACAUAUGCUGCACGGGUGGCACUGCCAUUGGUUGAGGACCGAACUUGCCAUCUCUCUUGUCCAUUUCAACCUUGUGUUGUGUCUG
rnacentral:misc_RNA from 1 species